GAUUAUUCAAGUAAGGCCGUGUGUUAUCUGAUCUUGGGCAAGGAUGGAUGACCUGAUCCAUAGGUGAUGGAUCAAGGUGUCUGAUCUGAUUGAUCAAAGGAUGCACCAGUUGUAAGAGCAAGAUUGAUCGGCUCCAUUGGGACAUGGUUCCAUGGCCGGUUAGGCAAGUGUGAAGACUCAUCAGUUCUGAGUCAUGUGG
rnacentral:lncRNA from 1 species